rnacentral:lncRNA from 10 species
AAAACCCGAGUGGAUUAGAUUUCUCAGGGACAUUUUCAUUUUAAAGGCAACAAAGAAGUUUUAGAAGCAAAUGAUUGAAAUUCUUAGCCCUGCUUUGGAGCAGUUGGGAACUUCAGCAUUUUGAUCCACCUUUUUGGAGCCACCUCAUGUGAAAGAUGGAUGAGACCUUCGUCAGCAAACCUGUCUACGUAGGAGCUGGUAUGAGGAUCACACAAUGCAAGCAAAUAAAAUGAGAAAAGAUGAU